rnacentral:RNase_P_RNA from 1 species
UAAGUAGGACAAAUGGUCGCGGCCCGCGCCGGGGAAUCCCGGCCGGGGUGAGGAAAGUCCGGGCUUCACAGGGCAGGAUGCCGGAUAACGUCCGGUGGAGGCGACUCCAAGGAUAGUGCAACAGAAAUAUACCGCCGUACCCGGCGACGGGUGCGGUAAGGUUGGAAGGGCAGUGUAAGAGACUACCGCCUUCCUGGUAACAGGGAGGGCAUAUGUAAACCCCAUCCGAAGCAAGACCGAACCAAAGCGUUUACGUGGCCCGCCAGCUUUAGGUAGGUCGCUGGAGGCGGCUGGCGACAGUCGUCCUAGAUAGAUGACCAUUCGACGGCAGAGAUGCCGUCCGACAUAACCCGGCUUAUCGUCCUGCUUAUUCA